rnacentral:rRNA from 1 species
GACGUAGGGUGCGAGCGUUGUCCGGAUUUAUUGGGCGUAAAGAGCUCGUAGGCGGCUCGUCGCGUCGACCGUGAAAACCCGCAGCUUAACUGCGGCUUGCGGUUGAUACGGGCGGGCUAGAGUUCGGUAGGGGAGACUGGAAUUCCUGGUGUAGCGGUGAAAUGCGCAGAUAUCAGGAGGAACACCGGUGGCGAAGGCGGGUCUCUGGGCCGAUACUGACGCUGAGGAGCGAAAGCGUGGGAGCGAACAGG